UACGGAGGGUGCAAACGUUGCUCGGAAUCAUUGGGCGUAAAGCGCACGUAGGUGGCCUGUUAAGUCGGGUGUGAAAUCCCGGGGCUCAACCCCGGAACUGCCUUUGAUACUGGGUAUCUCGAGUCCGGAAGAGGUGAGUGGAAUUCCGAGUGUAGAGGUGAAAUUCGUAGAUAUUCGGAGGAACACCAGUGGCGAAGGCGGCUCACUGGUCCGGUACUGACGCUGAGGUGCGAAAGCGUGGGGAGCAAACAGG
rnacentral:rRNA from 1 species